GUAAGGUCAAGUAGAAAAGGGCGCACGGUGAAUGCCUAGGCACUAAAAGCCGAUGAAGGACGUGACGAACUACGAAAAGCUUCGGGGAGCGGUAAGUACGCUAAGAUCCGGAGAUGUCCGAAUGGGGGAACCCAAUGCAGCGAUGCAUUAUUGAAUGAUGAAUAGAUAGUCAUUCAAAGGAAUACGCAGUGAACUGAAACAUCUAAGUAGCUGCAGGAAGAGAAAGAAAAAUCGAUUUCCUUAGUAGCGGCGAGCGAAGAGGAAAGAGCCCAAACCAAGUGAUUUAUCAUUUGGGGUUGUAGGACUGCGACGUGGCAGCGUGAGUGAUAGCAGAAUUAUCUGGGAAGGUAAGCCAGAGAGGGUGAGAGCCCCGUAAGCGAAAUUGCAAGCGCGCCUAGCAGAAUCCUGAGUAGGCCGGGACACGAGGAAUCCCGGUUGAAACCGCGAGGACCAUCUCGCAAGGCUAAAUACUAAUUAGUGACCGAUAGUGAACCAGUACCGUGAGGGAAAGGUGAAAAGAACCCCGGAAGGGGAGUGAAAGAGAACCUGAAACCGUGUGUCUACAAGUAGUCAAAGCACAUUAAGGUGCAAUGGCGUGCCUUUUGUAGAAUGAACCGGCGAGUUACGUUAACUAGCGAGGUUAAGUCAGAAAAGACGGAGCCGGAGCGAAAGCGAGUCUGAAUAGGGCGAGAAGUUAGUUGACGUAGACCCGAAACCAAGUGACCUACCCAUGACCAGGCUGAAGGUGUGGUAAAACGCACUGGAGGGCCGAACCCACGUAAGUUAAAAAUUGCGGGGAUGAGUUGUGGGUAGCGGUGAAAUUCCAAACGAACUUGGAGAUAGCUGGUUCUCUCCGAAAUAGCUUUAGGGCUAGCCUCGUGGAGAGGAUAAUGGAGGUAGAGCUCUGUUUGGACUAGGGGCCCGUCAGGGGUUACUGAAUCCAGAUAAACUGCGAAUUCCAUAUAUCCAUACACGGGAGUCAGACUGCGAGUGAUAAGAUCCGUAGUCGAAAGGGAAACAGCCCAGAUCACCAGUUAAGGUCCCCAAAUCUAUGCUAAGUGGAAAAGGAUGUGGAGUUGCGUAGACAACUAGGACGUUGGCUCAGAAGCAGCCAUCAUUCAAAGAGUGCGUAAUAGCUCACUAGUCGAGUGGCGCUGCGCCGAAAAUUUACCGGGGCUAAGCAUAGUACCGAAACUGUGGAUGUGUUUUAAAGAGCACGUGGUAGGAGAGCGUUCUAAGUGCGGCGAAGGCUAAUCGAGAGGAUAGUUGGAGCGCUUAGAAGUGAGAAUGCCGGUAUGAGUAGCGAAAGAUAGGUGAGAAUCCUAUCCGCCGAAAGACUAAGGUUUCCUGGGGCAGGCUCGUCCGCCCAGGGUAAGUCGGGACCUAAGGCAAGGCCGAGAGGCGUAGUCGAUGGAUAACAGGUAGAGAUUCCUGUACUGUGUUCAAUCGUUAUGAGCAAUGGAGGGACGCAGGAGGCGAAACACGCAUCGAGCUGGAUCGAUGUUCAAGCAGCGAGUGCGGUUAAGAGUCAAAUGCUUCUAACCAGCAACAUGAGCUGUGAUGAGUAGCGAAGUAAAAGUAGCGAAGGUGAUGUAGUCACACUGCCAAGAAAAGCUUCUAGCCAGAGAGAACAUACCCGUACCGCAAACCGACACAGGUAGUCGAGUGGAGAACACUAAGGUGAGCGAGAGAACUCUCGUUAAGGAACUCGGCAAAAUGACCCCGUAACUUCGGAAGAAGGGGUGCUGGCCAUGAGAGUGGUUAGCCGCAGUGAAUAGGCCCAAACAACUGUUUAUCAAAAACACAGGUCUCUGCAAAAUCGUAAGAUGACGUAUAGAGGCUGACACCUGCCCGGUGCUGGAAGGUUAAGAGGAGAGCUUAGCGCAAGCGAAGGUUUGAAUUGAAGCCCCAGUAAACGGCGGCCGUAACUAUAACGGUCCUAAGGUAGCGAAAUUCCUUGUCGGGUAAGUUCCGACCUGCACGAAAGGUGUAAUGAUUUGGGCACUGUCUCAACGAGAGACUCGGUGAAAUUAUAAUACCCGUGAAGAUGCGGGUUACCCGCGACAGGACGGAAAGACCCCAUGGAGCUUCACUGUAGCUUGAUAUUGAGUAUCUUUUAAACAUGUACAGGAUAGGUAGGAGCCAAGGAAUGCAGGACGCUAGUCUUGCAGGAGGCAAUGUUGGGAUACUACCCUUGUUUGAAGGAUGCUCUAACCUCGACCUGUAA
rnacentral:rRNA from 1 species